ensembl:lncRNA
AAAAAAAUCCACAAAAAUGUUAAGCAGCACAACUGUGUUCAACAUUUAAAAUAAUAAGAAAUGUUUCCUGAGCACAAAAUCAGCAUACAGACGACUGGUUUAAUGGCUGCAGAAAAUGUACGUUUUAAAAUACAUUAUAGUAGUACAGCUAUAUGAAACUGUAAUAAUAUUUCACAAUAUUCCUUUUUUUUCUGUAUUAAUAGAGCUGACUGUAUAAAUAGAGCAGUGAUGAACAUUAGUGUAUCUUUAAUGCAUUUGUAGUGGCACUGAUAAUAAUUGAUAUUUAGUGUUUAUUCUUAUUUAUUUGCUUGACAUGUUGUCUUUCAUUCACUGAAAGUCUAUUUAUCUAAACAUUUUGGCCACCAAUUUAUUUUUGCGCUGUUACAUAUAAUGUAGCGUUCAUUUGAUAGUUUUGAAUUUAUAUUGCAGUGCUGAACUAUGUCUGUACUCCACGUCAUUCUGCCUCACCCUACACUCCCAGAAUCCUACUGUUUGGACCCCCAGGUUCAGGAAAGAGUCUUCAGGCAAAACUGAUUGCUCAGAAUUAUGGCAUUGUCAACAUUUGUUGUGGUGAGCUUCUGAAGGCUGUGUCAGCUGAUGAGAGCCAUAUGGGGGAGCUCAUUAAACCCUACCUGGAGACAAAACAGCAAGGGUCUUCUUCCUGGAGAUAACUGAUGACAUUGCUAUUGAGAGGGUAACACUUAGGGGUGUGGAUCCUGUGACUGGAGAAUGGUAUCACAGCAUAUAUAAACCUGCUUCUGGUCCGGAAGUGCAGUCCCGGCUUCGAUUUAACCCACGGCAUUCAAAGGCACAGCUGCUAAAGAGGCUUAAGGAGUACUGGAACUAUGCAGCGGACCUGCAGGCCUUCUACCCACAGGCAGUGUACAUCAACGCUGACCAGGACCCACACACUGUGUUUGAAUAACUGGAGAGUAGGCUAGUGAGCCGACUACCUAAAAUCCUGUCUUACUGAGAAACAGUUGAGCGCUAAACACUGUUAUUGGGAUACUCCACCCAAAAACAUUUUUACUCACUCUCAUGCCAUCCCAGGUGUAGGACUUUCUUUGUUCUGGUAAACAAAAAAUUAGAUUUUUAGAAAAAGAAUCCAUCUCUCUGAGUCCAUAUAAUGCAAAUGAAUGGCACCCUCAAAGCUGAUGCUUCAAAAUCCACACAAAAUUAACAUGACAGUAAUCCAAUACAACCCCUGUGAAUAAAUCAUUGUCUUCUGAAAUUAAAUGAAAAGUGUGUGUAAGAAGAAUAGUAGUAUUUUCGACUUUUUAUACUAUAAACCAUUGCUUCUGGCCACUCUAGACAACUAUUAAAUGCAGUUUCAUGAGUUUACUCUUGAUGUGAACUUCAGCAACUUGAUGCAAGACAUUUGGCAGCAAUGGUUUAUAGUUUAAUGUUUAUAUAAAGUUUAAAAUAAUAAUAUUUUCUCACACAUACACACUUAUUGUUUUGCUUCAGAAGACAUUGAUUCAUCCGCUGGUGUUGUAUGUGUUUGUUUCAUGUGAUUUGCAUCAACUUUGAUGGUCCCAUCCACUUACAUUAUAUGAAUACACAGAGAUGGAUUGUUUUUCUAGAAAUCAUCAUUUGUGUUCCACAAAAGAAAGAAAGCCAUAAACUUCUGAGAGAGCAUGAAAACAGGUUUUUUUGGUUGUAAAAAAAGGAGUACAUUUUAGUUCUAAUUUUCAUUUCAUUUUGUACACUUCGUAAGUCUGAUA